AGAAACGUUCGAGAUGUCUAAGUCCUGUCCACAUGAAAAUUAAAAGGGGAAAAAACACCUCCUAAUAAAUAGACAUAAAUCCAAAAAGAUAAGAAAUUCAUCAAGAUAGUCCACCACCUAAAAGAAAAGGGAAAAGAAGAACUUAUUUACCACUAAAAAAGCAUUCAAGUAAGUGUUAAUAAGUAUGAUAAUGAGCAUUAGAACACAAGAAGGUAACAAAAUUUUUGAAAUUUUAGAUAAAAAGUGGAACAAUCCACACAUGUGCAACUGAAUAGUACAUUAAAUAUUAAAAUAAAUUAGUAGCGUGAAAACUUUUGUGUCAUGAAUUUGUCAAAAAAGCUUGAAGAAAAAAAAUCCCCAUAAUUAGCUUGUUCAGAAUACAUUGUUCACAAAAUGGAAAUUAGACUUACAUCUGGUACUACCAACAGAGAAA
rnacentral:misc_RNA from 1 species